rnacentral:tRNA from 1 species
GCGGGCAUCCGCAUACGGCGUCUUCCAAACUAGCUACGCGGGUUCGAUUCCCGUCGCCCGCU